CACUGUCACUCCUACGGGGAGGCAGCAGGUGGGGGAAUAUUGCACAAUGGGCGCAAGCCUGAUGCAGCCAUGCCGCGUGUAUGAAGAAGGCCUUCGGGUUGUAAAGUACUUUCAGCAGUGAGGAAGGUGGGUAUGUUAAUAGCAUACUCAUUUGACGUUAGCUGCAGAAGAAGCACCGGCUAACUCCGUGCCAGCAGCCGCGGUAAUACGGAGGGUGCGAGCGUUAAUCGGAAUUACUGGGCGUAAAGCGCAUGCAGGUGGUUUGUUAAGUCAGAUGUGAAAGCCCGGGGCGUCAACCUCGGAAUUGCAUUUGUAAACUGGCAGACUAGAGUACUGUAGAGGGGGGUAGGAAUUUCAGGUGUAGCGGUGAAAAUGCGUAGAGAUCUGAAGGAAUACCGGUGGCGAAGGCGGCCCCCUGGACAGAUACUGACACUCAAAUGCGAAAGCGUGGGGAGCAAACAGGAUUAGAUACCCUGGUAG
rnacentral:rRNA from 1 species